CGCUGGCGGCAUGCCUAACACAUGCAAGUCGAACGGUAACAGGUCUUCGGAUGCUGACGAGUGGCGCACGGGUGAGUAACGCGUGGAUAUCUGCCUAUGAGUGGGGGACAACUUUCGGAAACGAAAGCUAAUACCGCAUAAUCUCUACGGAGCAAAGCAGGGGACCUUUCGGGGCCUUGUGCUUAUAGAUGAGUCCGCGUCAGAUUAGCUAGUUGGUGGGGUAAGAGCCUACCAAGGCGAUGAUCUGUAGCUGGUUUGAGAGGAUGAUCAGUCACACUGGAACUGAGACACGGUCCAGACUCCUACGGGAGGCAGCAGUGGGGAAUUUUGCACAAUGGGCGCAAGCCUGAUGCAGCGAUGCCGCGUGUGGGAAGAAGGCCUUUGGGUUGUAAACCACUUUCAAUUGGGAAGAAGGGAUGAGAGUUAAUAACUCUCUGACUUGACGGUACCUUUAGAAGAAGCACCGGCUAAUUUCGUGCCAGCAGCCGCGGUAAUACGAAAGGUGCAAGCGUUGUUCGGAUUUACUGGGCGUAAAGAGAUCGUAGGUGGUUUGUUAAGUUGGAUGUGAAAUCCCGGGGCUCAACCUCGGAACUGCAUCCAAAACUGGCAGACUUGAGUUCGGGAGGGGUAAGCGGAAUUCCGUGUGUAGCAGUGAAAUGCGUAGAUAUACGGAGGAACACCUGAGGCGAARGCGGCUUACUGGGACCGAUACUGACACUGAGGAUCGAAAGCGUGGGUAGCAAACAGGAUUAGAUACCCUGGUAGUCCACGCCCUAAACGAUGUCAACUAGCCGUUGCGGGUAUCGACCCCUGCAGUGGCGCAGCUAACGCGAUAAGUUGACCGCCUGGGGAGUACGGUCGC
rnacentral:rRNA from 1 species